CUUUUAUUUGGUCACUUCCUCCUUUGGUAUUUUCAUGAUGUUUCAUUAAAUUGUUUCUUUCAGGAAAACCUGUACAAAGUAACUACCAGCUUUUGAAAGAGACAUUGGUUUUUUUUAGUAGAUUUGCACUUCAAGAUUUCAUAUGGUCACAAAUAUCAUUAUGGCCCUUAAGUUAAAUGUCAAAUACUUAAAAUUGUGGUUGUAUAUCUAGUUGCAGGUCCUUCUAGUUGUGGGAUGUGGGACGCCGCCUCAACGUAGCCUGAUGAGCGGUGCCAUGUCCGCGCCCCAGGAUCCGAACCCUGGGCUGCCGCAGCGGAGCAUGCGAACUUAAUCACUCAGCCAUGGAGCCAGCCUCAGAUGUAAUAAAUUUAAACUUGUGUGGACCUAAUAGCUUCAAAUAUAUGCAACGAAAAUUAAUAGGACUACAAGGAGAAAGUGACAAUUUCACUAUCAAAGUGGGAAAUUUUAAUAUUUUUCUCUUAGUUGACAGAUCAAGCACAUAAAAGAGCGUCAAAGACUUGAAUGAAACUUGGUAGACAUUUAUAGAACACUGUAUCCAGCAAUUGCAGAAUAUCUAUUAUUUCUAAGCAAACGUCAAAUAUUGAUGAAACUUUAGCACGCUUAAGCCACAAAAUUAGUCUCAACAGAUUUCACAGGAUGGGCAUCUGGGGCAAAAACUAACUAGAUGUUCACUAACCGGGCUUCUGCUUCCUGGUCCACAGCUCAACUAUAUUUUACAGUCUCCUUGCAUCUAGAUAGGGAGACGGGAUUAGUUCCUGUUAAAGGAAAGUGGGUAAAAGUGAUUAUACCACCUCCAAGCCUGGCCCCUGAAUGUGUCCCAGUGAUCUUUAUGCAUUCUCUCUUCACUUGUCAGCCAGCUCAGAGUAGCAGGGUGUCCAGUGUGACCCUAGGGGUAAAGUUACCAAGAGAUGUUGCCUGGAUCUCUGAGUUGUUGCUUGGAGGAGAGCCACUCAGGAAAGUCCACGGACCAGUUGCUUCAUGUGAGAAAUAAACUGUGCAUGUGUUUUAAGCCACUGAGAUUUUAGAAAUGCUCAUUAUAUCAAGGAGCUGACUAAAACAGUAUUGUGCAGACUGCAUUCUCCAACAGAUUGUGAUUAGGUUAAAAAUCUAGCAUAAAUAAAAAUGAGGAAAAAGCUAUGUGCCUGGAAGUUUAAAAAUGCAUUUUUAAACCACUCAGGUGAAAGAAUAAAUGAUGAAAAUUAGAAUGUACUCAAAACCGUACAAUAGAUAGAAUACUAAUUGUCAAGAUGUGUAGGUAAUAACUUCAACAGCCUUUAUAGGAAAAUAUAUAGCCUUAAAUAUUAACAUUAAAAAUAAUGAGGGCUCAAGAAUAAUGAAUUAGAUUUUUAACUUAAGGAACUAGGAAAAUAAUGGCAGAAUGAAGAUCAGAGCAGAAAUUAAUGAAACAGAAAAUGAACACGUAAUACAGAAGCUCAAUAAGCCAAAGGUUGAUGUUUAAAUUGAAAUAUAAUUCAUACACCAUAAAGGUCACCAUUUUAAAGUGGACAAUUCACUAAAGUGUUCUUUAGCAUAUUCACAAAUGUGUGCAACCAUCAUCACUAAUUCCAGAACAUUUCAUUAUCUCAGGAAGAAACCCAGUAGCUAUUGCCAGUCAUUCCUCAUUUUCUCCUCCCCUCUGCCUGUGGUAACCAUUGUCACUAAGGGUUUGCCUAUUGUGGACAUUUCAUAUAAAUGGAGUCAUUCAAUAUGUCGCCUUUUGAGACUGGUUUCUUACACUUUGCGUAAUGUUUUCAAGCUUCAUCUAUGUUGUAGCACAUUUCAGUCCUUCAUGGUCCAAUAAUAUUCCAUUGUAUGGAUAUACACAUUUUGUUUAUCCAUUCAUCAGCUGAUGGAUAUUUGGGUUGUUUCCACCUUUUGGCUACUAUGAACAAUGCUUUUAUGAACAUUCCUAUGCAAGUUUUGGGGUGGACAUACGUUUAUACCUCAAUAUAUCUAAGAGUAUAUGUGAGUAUAAAGGGCGUAUAUGUUUAUACUUACAUAUCCCCAAUUAUCUUGGGUCUAUACCUGAAUUGCUUAGAAUUGCUAGGUCUUAUGAUGAUUCUAUGUUUAACUUUUUGAGGAACUGCCAAAGUGUUUUUCAAAGCAGCUGUAUCAUUUUACAUUCCUACCAGCAAUGUCUGAGGUUCCGAUUUCUCCAUAUCCUCACCAACACCUGUCACUUCUUGUCUUUUAGUGCCAGUGGGAGUGUAAAGUGGUAUCUCGUUGUGGUUCUGCACUUCUCCAAUGACUAAUGAUGUUGAGCAUCUUUUCAUGUGCUGCUUCACUUAUUUGUAUAUCUUUUUGGUAAAAAUGUUUAUUUAAAUCCUUUGUUCAUUUUUAAAUUGG
ensembl:lncRNA